GCCUCAGUGGUGGUAGUGGUGAAAGAACGCGUCCCCGGAUAGUAUGACAACGUGGGUUCGAUUCCCGCCUGAGGUC